rnacentral:rRNA from 1 species
CACGGCAGAGGGAACGGAAAGGGUAGGCGGCACCUAAGGAGAGCUCGCUCUCUCUAGCCCCUUCCGCAGCCGGCGCAUGCUCUCCUCCCUCUCUCUCUCUUCCUCCCUCCCUACCGCCUUCGGUGCUCCUUCAUGGACCACGUCCACCGCCUCCCCUCCCUCCGCCGCGGGCUCCUCCCGCCGCGCGGCAGCCGGCCCGGGCAGAUGGCGACGCGGCGGCCGCGGCCGCCCCGCAGCGGCGGGCGGCACGGCCCCGAGCUCAGUACGACCCUGUAUAAGGCAAACAGACACCUUUUCAUGGGACCGUUGGGCUACUACCCGGCGGCACUUUAGUACCUGCCUUUCCGACCGUUCAUGUGUACCCACUGAAUGUUUCUUCAUAUGCUGUGACACUAGUUCCAUCCCCGAAGUUAGGCCUCGACGCCGUAGUUGUUCCCUCCUGCUACACCAUAGAUACCUCCGUUAUCGGGACUCACCCAACACUCAUACGUCCGGACGUUACGGGUACCGUAAAUGACACAAGGUAACAUACUGUGUGAACCACGACCCCGUUAUCUUAAAUAUAACACGGUACGUCUCCAGCUUUAACGAAAACACCUCCUCUUCUUCUAACCUCUCCAUGAGUUCUGUAAUGGUUUGCGCUGGUUUAAAAACUUCUGGUAGCACUCGAAACCAUUCCAGUCGGGACUAGUCUUCCUUUUCCAACUCGUCUUGCCUAACAGAUAGAUGAGUACCAGGCUCAAACACGAAUUCCCUCUACCCCGACUUCUCUUCAUACUUGAGGGAGGUUUCCUUUUCCGACUGUAUACGUGCUAUUACAUAUGGUCACCUUGUUGACCACUAGGUUUCCCUCAAAAUUAGAGAUUAUUCUCGUAAUAGUGGUAACAAAGUCGUCACCUACUCAAGGAAGCGUUAAGUUUACUUGUCUAAGCACUCCUACUACAAAUGUAAAGAAUAGAAGGCGAACGGGUGUAUAAACUGGCACACUAACUCCUCCACAAGUAAGUGGUGCCCCGGAGUUAACCUAAAACCGCACCUCUACAGUUUGAGAACCAACUUCUGUAACCUCUUGAGUUCGGUUGUUAUAAGACACGACAAGGUGCACACGAUCUGUCUUAGAUACCUCCUGAAGUUCUAUUUCAGAGUUGGCCACCGAAGGAUUUCUUCUGUAACAAGUUACAACGCAUGUUUAUGUUUGUUCCCUUGUACUAUUUUCCUUCGUUCGUACUUCUACGACGAAGAUAAAAACUGUUUGAUCAGAAGUGGUUCCACUUUGCUCCUAACCCACCAUCUCACGCUCAUUAAAAUAGUCCGCGUCGAGGAGAUAGAUUAGUACAGCUCCUCAAAGACGCACAGCAAUGUACGAGAGUACAAGAGGUUCCGAUACCAGAGUGUCUCUGGACACGACCCAGAAAACAAAGCAACGGUUUGUUGUACAGGUACGACCCUUGACAGCCGGGAGGACAGGGUAUGCAACUUCAUGUGAAUCUUAGACAAGGACUCUACCCCAUACUACGUAAUAGUUUUCUUAGUGGAGCACCCCUCUAAACGUAGUCUCCCCUGUGGAACAAGAGUCCCAUGAUAUUCGCUCUUCUGGAGUGGUUCCUUCAGAACCAGCUACCGACCAAGGUGUGUCCUCUGUAACCACUCACCGUCGUACUACCUUCGUACUUCUAGUAGCUGGCGUUCUUCUUGUAUAAGUUCGAAAGGGUUCCUCUUAUGCAGCGCCAACUCUUAGAUCUCUUGUAUAAACCAGUUCGAGGAUUACAACUAAGCUAAACCCACAUACCUUUGUCGAAGCUUAGUACGGACCAACGCCACUAGUUGGGGUUGUUCGUUCCAGACCUUGCUACCCGACUCAGCUUGCCCCAAUCGCCUCUGAAACGGAGCUAUACACCUCUACGAUUUCGCUUUCUCAAGUAGAACCUUCUUGACUCGUUUUGACCGUUUCUAUUCUUCGAGUUUCCGAAACUCUACUAGUCCCGACAAGUAGACCUCGGCCACGAGAAACUGUACCUCGCGCUGGAGUAGUGGGGUUGAAUGUUCUUCUUCGCCGGCGUCGAGGAGUUUAUAAUAGUCCCGUAGUAACUGCUUUACAUAUUCUCGUACUUCAUCCGAUAUGGCUAGACCCGUCGCGCAAAUUAAGGGGGGGAAUACAAGAGAAACUUGCACUUUCUUUUGUUUAUGAACCUUACUGCAUGUAUGUAUCACCGAGACAGUAUUCAUUUAGCUACAAUUUUAAAACACCAACGCGGAAAAGAAAAGGUCAUUUUACUUAUUACAGUUCGUUAGGCUUUUCAUUGUCCACGUUGAGGUAGAGUCACGUAACAUAGUACGUCUGCGCUGGAGACUAGCCCGUUUAAAGUCAACUAGAGUCUCGUUUAAACUGGUAGUGAGGUAGAAGUUAUGUG